rnacentral:rRNA from 1 species
UGGGGAAUAUUGCACAAUGGGCGCAAGCCUGAUGCAGCCAUGCCGCGUGUGUGAAGAAGGCCUUCGGGUUGUAAAGCACUUUCAGCGGGGAGGAAGGCGAUAAGGUUAAUAACCUUGUCGAUUGACGUUACCCGCAGAAGAAGCACCGGCUAACUCCGUGCCAGCAGCCGCGGUAAUACGGAGGGUGCAAGCGUUAAUCGGAAUUACUGGGCGUAAAGCGCACGCAGGCGGUCUGUCAAGUCGGAUGUGAAAUCCCCGGGCUCAACCUGGGAACUGCAUUCGAAACUGGCAGGCUAGAGUCUUGUAGAGGGGGGUAGAAUUCCAGGUGUAGCGGUGAAAUGCGUAGAGAUCGGGAGGAAUACCGGUGGCGAAGGCGGCCCCCUGGACAAAGAAUGACGCUCAGGUGCGAAAGCGUGGGGAGCAAACAGG